rnacentral:rRNA from 1 species
AGCCGAGCGGUAGAUUACUUUCGGGUAAUUGAGAGCGGCGUACGCGCGUGCGGAACACGUGUGCAACCUGCCUUUAUCAGGGGGAUAGCCUUUCGAAAGGAAGAUUAAUACCCCAUAAUAUAUUAUUCGGCAUCGGGUGAUAUUGAAAACUACGGUGGAUAGAGAUGGGCACGCGCAAGAUUAGCUAGUUGGUGAGGUAACGGCUCACCAAGGCGACGAUCUUUAGGGGGCCUGAGAGGGUGAUCCCCCACACUGGUACUGAGACACGGACCAGACUCCUACGGGAGGCAGCAGUGAGGAAUAUUGGACAAUGGGUGGAAGCCUGAUCCAGCCAUCCCGCGUGCAGGAAGACGGCCCUAUGGGUUGUAAACUGCUUUUAUCUGGGGAUAAACCUACUUACGUGUAAGUAGCUGAAGGUACCAGAAGAAUAAGCACCGGCUAACUCCGUGCCAGCAGCCGCGGUAAUACGGAGGGUGCAAGCGUUAUCCGGAUUUAUUGGGUUUAAAGGGUCCGUAGGCGGACUGAUAAGUCAGUGGUGAAAUCCGACAGCUUAACUGUCGAACUGCCAUUGAUACUGUUAGUCUUGAGUAAGGUUGAAGUGGCUGGAAUAAGUAGUGUAGCGGUGAAAUGCA